ensembl:snRNA U6 U6 spliceosomal RNA
GUGCUUGCUUCAGCAAUACAUAUACUAAAAUUUGAAUGGUACCGAGAAGAUUAACAUGGCCCAGGCACAAGGAUGAUAUGAAGGAAAUAAAAAUGAAAAAGAAAAAG